rnacentral:rRNA from 1 species
CACGUAGGGGGCGAGCGUUGUCCGGAUUUAUUGGGCGUAAAGAGCUCGUAGGCGGCUCAGUAAGUCAGGUGUGAAACCUCCAGGCUCAACCUGGAGACGCCACCUGAUACUGCUGUGGCUUGAGUCCGGUAGGGGAGUGUGGAAUUCCUGGUGUAGCGGUGAAAUGCGCAGAUAUCAGGAGGAACACCAGCGGCGAAGGCGGCACUCUGGGCCGGUACUGACGCUGAGGCGCGAAAGCGUGGGGAGCGAACAGG